UGACACAUUGCAAAGACAUUCUUGGCAGACCAAUUUUGGGGGGCUGCAACAUUUUCUCCAGGGAGUUGAUUUAUUCUUUGAAGAAUGUUACACUUUGACUUUGGUUGAAUGAAAAAUGGGGCGUCCAACCGCCACCCACUUAGAACAAGCAAAUUUUUCUUUUCUUUUAUAAUUACUCGGUACAUUUAUUUUCUUGUUUUUUGCUUAUAAGAGAUUGCUCACGGUUUGGAGAUUUAAUAGUUGUAGCCGCCACUCACCAUUG
rnacentral:lncRNA from 1 species